UAGGGAAUAUUGGUAAUGGGCGAAAGCCUGAACCAGCAACGCCGCGUGUGCGAUGAAGGCCUUCGGGUCGUAAAGCACUUUUUGGAGGGAUGAGGAAGGACAGUACCUCCAGAAUAAGCCUCGGCUAACUACGUGCCAGCAGCCGCGGUAACACGUAGGAGGCAAGCGUUAUUCGGAUUUACUGGGCGUAAAGCGCGUGCAGGCGGUUCGGAAAGUUGGAUGUGAAAGCUCCUGGCUUAACUGGGAGAGGUCGUUCAAUACUUCCGGACUUGAGAGUGGGAGAGGGAGGUGGAAUUCCGGGUGUAGUGGUGAAAUGCGUAGAUAUCCGGAGGAACACCAGUGGCGAAAGCGGCCUCCUGGCCCAUUUCUGACGCUCAGACGCGAAAGCUAGGGUAGCAAACGGG
rnacentral:rRNA from 1 species